rnacentral:rRNA from 1 species
UACGUAGGGGGCAAGCGUUGUCCGGAAUCAUUGGGCGUAAAGAGCGUGUAGGCGGUCCGGUAAGUCAGCUGUGAAAGUCAAGGGCUCAACCCUUGAAAGCCGGUUGAUACUGUCGAGCUAGAGUCCGGAAGAGGCGAGUGGAAUUCCCGGUGUAGCGGUGAAAUGCGCAGAUAUCGGGAGGAACACCAAUGGCGAAGGCAGCUCGCUGGGACGGUACUGACGCUGAGACGCGAAAGCGUGGGGAGCAAACAGG